rnacentral:rRNA from 1 species
UACGUAGGGUGCAAGCGUUGUCCGGAAUUAUUGGGCGUAAAGAGCUCGUAGGCGGUUUGUCACGUCGGAUGUGAAAACCCGAGGCUUAACCUCGGGCCUGCAUUCGAUACGGGCUGACUAGAGUUCGGUAGGGGAGACUGGAAUUCCUGGUGUAGCGGUGAAAUGCGCAGAUAUCAGGAGGAACACCGGUGGCGAAGGCGGGUCUCUGGGCCGUAACUGACGCUGAGGAGCGAAAGCAUGGGGAGCGAACAGG